rnacentral:rRNA from 1 species
UACGUAGGAUCCAAGCGUUGUUCCGGAUUUACUGGGUGUAAAGGGUGCGCAGGCGGACUUGUAAGUCAGGGGUGAAAUCUCACAGCUCAACUGUGAAACUGCCUUUGAUACUGCAAGUCUUGGAUCCAGAAGAGAGUUGUGGAAUUCCGAGUGUAGCAGUGAAAUGUGUAGAUAUUCGGAAGAACACCAGUGGCGAAGGCAGCAACUUGGUCUGGUAUCGACGCUCAGGCACGAAAGCAUGGG